GAUGAAGAACGUAGCGAAAUGCGAUACGUAAUGUGAAUUGCAAAUUCAGUGAAUCAUCGAGUCUUUGAACGCACAUUGCGCCCCCUGGUAUUCCGGGGGGCAUGCGUGUCCGAGCGUCAUUGCUGCCCUCAAGCACGGCUUGUGUGUUGGGCCCCGUCCUCCGAUCCCGGGGGACGGGCCCGAAAGGCAGCGGCGGCACCGCGUCCGGUCCUCGAGCGUAUGGGGCUUUGUCACCCGCUCUGUAGGCCCGGCCGGCGCUUGCCGAUCAACCCAAAUUUUUUAUCCAGGUUGACCUCGGAUCAGGUAGGGAUACCCGCUGAACUUAAGCAUAUCAAUAAGCGGAGA
rnacentral:misc_RNA from 1 species